AUUGAACGCUGGCGGAAUGCUUUACACAUGCAAGUCGAGCGGCAGCGCGGGGCAACCUGGCGGCGAGCGGCGAACGGGUGCGUAAUACAUCGGAACAUGUCCAGUCGUGGGGGAUAACCUGGCGAAAGCCAGGCUAAUACCGCAUGCGCUCGGGAGAGGAAAGCGGGGGACCUGGCAACGGGCCUCGCGCGCUUGGGUUGGUCGAUGUCCGAUUAGCUAGUUGGUGAGGUAAAGGCUCACCAAGGCGAUGAUCGGUAGCUGGUCUGAGAGGAUGAUCAGCCACACUGGGACUGAGACACGGCCCAGACUCCUACGGGAGGCAGCAGUGGGGAAUUUUGGACAAUGGGGGCAACCCUGAUCCAGCCAUUCCGCGUGAGUGAAGAAGGCCUUCGGGUUGUAAAGCUCUUUUGUCCGGAGCGAAACGGUGCAGGCGAAUAGUCUGCGCUACUGACGGUACCGGAAGAAUAAGCACCGGCUAACUACGUGCCAGCAGCCGCGGUAA
rnacentral:rRNA from 1 species